UACCCGCAGCACAAGUGGUGGUCAUUAUUAUUGGGCCUAAAGCGUCCGUAGCUGGCUUGUUAGAUGCCUGGGUAAAUCGAUGCGCUCAACGCAUCGAACUCCGGGUAGACCGGCAAGCUUGGGACCGGGAGAGAUGUGAGCUACUCGAGGGGUAGGGGUAAAAUCCUGUAAUCCUUCGGGGAGGACCAGUGGCGAAGGCGUCACAUUAGAACGGCUCCGACAGUGAGGGACGAAGCCCUGGGGCGCAAACCGG
rnacentral:rRNA from 1 species